CCUACGGGGGGCAGCAGUGAGGAAUAUUGGUCAAUGGACGAGAGUCUGAACCAGCCAAGUAGCGUGAAGGAUGACUGCCCUAUGGGUUGUAAACUUCUUUUAUAUGGGAAUAAAACGUUCCACGUGUGGGAUUUUGUAUGUCCCAUAUGAAUAAGGAUCGGCUAACUCCGUGCCAGCAGCCGCGGUAAUACGGAGGAUCCGAGCGUUAUCCGGAUUUAUUGGGUUUAAAGGGAGCGUAGGUGGAUUGUUAAGUCAGUUGUGAAAGUUUGCGGCUCAACCGUAAAAUUGCAGUUGAAACUGGCAGUCUUGAGUACAGUAGAGGUGGGCGGAAUUCGUGGUGUAGCGGUGAAAUGCUUAGAUAUCACGAAGAACUCCGAUUGCGAAGGCAGUUCACUGGACUGCAACUGACACUGAGGCUCGAAAGUGUGGGUAUCAAACAGGAUUAGAUACCCUUGUAGUC
rnacentral:rRNA from 1 species